rnacentral:lncRNA from 1 species
GUCUGUCGGAAAAGAAUACAAUAGAUCGCCGAUGAAUUACGACCAGUGUGAACCAGGCUUUAUAAACAUGGAUCAAACUCUCAAUAAAUGAAGCUUAAUAUUAGUAAUCUAAAUCUCUCCCAGCAUGUUCUACAAAAUAUUUUGGCUGAUAAAAAGUCUCCCUCAGCUUCAUAUAAUCUAACUCAAGGCAAAAAGGUCCAUUAAUUCUGUCCAUUAUUGAUAUACCGAUUGUUUUAUAGCGAUGGAAAGUUGGUUGUCUGUCUUGAAGAUAGCCAGCUGUUGUGAACAAAAACUUGGUAAACGGAAUCUGAAAAUAAAGUUUGUUUCUUGCGUGUUUUUCGUUAAUGAUAUAGUUGAAAGAAUUAAUAGAUAACACAACAUUUUGUCAGGAAAAAGGG